AAUACAAAAGCUCAGUGGUAGAGUGCCUGCCUAGCAUGCAUGAGGUCCUGGGUUCAAUUCCCAGUAGUGAAA
rnacentral:tRNA from 1 species